rnacentral:ncRNA from 1 species
UAUCGCUAGGGGAGCACAUCGCUGAGAUUGUGUCCGUUUUGGAUGCUAACCCUCACUACUUGAACCGGGUAAUACCGGCGUAAGGAAGCAGAGAUCA